rnacentral:misc_RNA from 1 species
ACGAUUCUCAAAGGAUGUGCUGGCAAUUUAUACUUGCAUGUGCACUCUGACUUUCAUUCACCUGUGCACAUUUUGUAGACAGGGAUAGCAAUUCUAUCCAUUGUCUAUGAUUUUUAUACACUCUGUUGAAAUAAAAUGGGAUGUAAUAUUAUAAAAUUAAUA